AUAGCACUCAAAGGACUGGAAUUCUGCCUCACGCUUAAGGCCCUUUCCUCCAUCUUGCGGCCCCUAGGAUGUGGGGAAAUCCUAGAAGACUUCUUGGAAGAGGAUCCCAGGGCUGUGACCUUCCUCCUCAUGGGCAGAACUGGAGGUUCCCAUAAUGAUGACCAGCAGCCCCAGGAGUAGGACUGAAGACCUGUUUGGCAAACCAGUUUGGCAAGGCUGUCUCCUCUAUGAUGUCAUCCAGCUGCUGUUUUCUUUGAGCGACAGUGCCAGAUAAACUUCCGGCCUUGGAGUAGAAGGGGGCCUGGCCUUAAGUGCUGAGGGAUGGGAAAGGAGUGACUCUUCCUUGGAAACUUGGAGGCAAGUGGGCUGUGGGAAGGAGAAGGAGGCCUGAGAUGUCCACUGUGCAGUGAUGAAACCAAGGAACCCAGCCUCAUAGAAAAAGGAGAGGAUUCUGGA